rnacentral:lncRNA from 1 species
AUGAAAUAGAGCGCCGUGUAUAUUUAUUUAUUUAAUCUUAAACGAGAAUUUAAUGAAAGAAGGCGAAGACGUUAGAAAACCUCCCCGGGUUGAAGGUUCGUAACCCCUUAUUAUUAUUAUUAUUAUUAAUUUCUCACUAAUUAGCAUUUUGCAAUUAGCAUGGGUAGAAAUUUUUUUUUUUUUUAAAUUAGCAUCAAACGAUAAAAAGGUCCCAGCUGUGACCAUCGCCUCGCCUCUUCAGGACUAUACAACGGGGAUUGAUUGGCUGUUAUUUCUAGCGUAUCUUAUGAGCGCGUAGAGGUUAUGGUAUAACUACAGUUUGAUGCCCCAUUUCUUUUUUAAUUUUUCUUUUCGUAACUCUCUGAAAAUUCAUAUAUUUUAAUGAAAUUUUGUAGAUGUAUAUUUUUGAGUAUGUAGCUUAUGAUUAUAUUAAUGAAACUUGUUUAAAACAAUUUUUUAAAGGACUUUUGCAUCAUUCUUCUCUCUCCUUCUCACUUUUAUUUCCUCAUAACUGUUUAAAAUGCAUAUUUUUAGAUGAUAUUUUGCAGAAAUUUAUUUUCGAGGGCAUCGAUUAAAAUUAUAUUCAUAGAAUUUGGAAAAAACAAUUAGAUUUUCGGGAUAGGUUUCGGAAUCGUUUUGUCAUUCUGCCUUGGCUCUGUUAGCACCAAUUUCUGUAGAUUUAGCACUUUUCACAUUCCUUUCAGAUUUCAUAUCUUAAACAUCAAAACUGUGUUAUCUACCAGAUCUACUGUACUAUCCAAUGAUAUAUUGCUGCAACAUUCCACUUAAAAGAUAUGCAUGUUUCGGGAAAUUAAGCGGAAAUAGUUGGUGGGGCAUUAUUCUGUACAUAUGCUCUUGUUCCUUCCUUACCGGAAUUUUUUCCCCUUGUCAGCACUUUCAGGACAUGUCAUACCUUAAUACGUGGCAACACUUCGUAACUCUUUUGUUACCAUAUUUCCGUUGAAAUUUUAAUGGAUUUUAAAAAACUUGGCGAUAUUCCAGAAUGUUCUUCACCGUUAGAAAACCAUUUGUGGGCGGAGACUUUUUCCCCUUUCGUGUUUUUUUUUUAGCCAGAAAGUAUUGUUUAUGAUCUUUUAUAGGGUCCCGAAAAACUGUUGUGGGUGGGGAGAAAGAUGUCUCCAAACCGGUCCGAAUGUUUACAACAGAAUGGAUUUGACUAAAGGUACUCGAUUCGCCAGGUUCUGAUGUUAAACCGGGCGAGAUGUUACGCCUUCAGACUAAAUUAGAAACGGUUAUUAUUAUUAUCGUUAUUGCACCGGACAAAAUGCUUAUUGACAUUUCUUCCGACUGCUGGCUCUCUGCCACAAUUUCAAACCACAUAGGUUGCGGAACACUGUUUUAUAUCAACAUUACUGCCCCUCUGAAGGCUGCGAGCUGGCAGAAUCGUUAGCACGCCGGACGAAAUAGCCGUUACGUUGUGAGUUCAAAUUCCGCCGAAGUCGACUUUGCCUUUCAUCCUUUCGGGGUCGAUAAAUUAAGUACCAGUUACGCACUGGGGUCGAUAUAAUCGACUUAAUACCUGGUCUGUCCAUGUUUGUCCCCUCUAUGUUCGGCCCCUUGUGGGUAAUAGAGAAAUAGGUAUUUCGUCUGCCGUUACGUUCUGAGUUCAAAUUCCGCUAAGGUCGAUUUUGCCUUUCAUCCUUUCGGGGUCGAUAAAUUAAGUACCAGUUACGCACUGGGGUCGAUUUAAUCCGUUUGUCUGUCUUUGUUUGUCCUCUUUGUGCUUAGCCCCUUGUUGGCAAUAAAGAAAUGGGUAUUUCGUCUGCCGCUACAUUCUGAGUUCAAAUUCCACCGAGGUCGACUUUGCCUUUCAUCCUUUCGGGGUCGAUAAAUUAAGUACCAGUUGCGUGCUAGGGUCGAUUUAAUCGACUGGGUCCCUCCCCAAAAAUUUCGGGCCUUGUGCCUAGAGUAGAAAAGCAUUAUUAUUAUUAUCAUUAAAGCGGGGAGCUGGCAGAAUCGUUAACAUGCUGGACGAAAUGCUUAGCGAUAUUUCGUCCGUCGCUAGGUUCUGGGUUCAAAUUCCACCGAGGUCGACUUUGCCUUUCAUCCUUUUGAGGUCGAUAAAUUAAGUACCUGUGAAACACUGGGGUCGAUGUAUUCGACAAGUACCUUCCCUAACAUUUCGGACCCUGUGCCUUCUGUAGGUGGUCAUUUAAGGAGGUCAGCUGACAGAAUCGUUAGCAUGUUGAACAAAAUGCUUAGCAGUAUUUCACCCAUCACUACAUUCAUCAUCAUCAUCAUCGUUUAACGUCUGCUUUCCAUGCUGGCAUGGGUUGGACGAUUUGACUGAGAUCUGACAAACCAGAUGGCUGCACCAGGCUCCAAUCUGAUCUGGCUGAGUUUCUACAGCUGGACACCCUUCCUAACGCCAACCACUCCAAGAGUGUAAUGGGUGCUUUUACAUGCCACUGUAAUGCACUGGUGAUCAAUGUAAUCAACUAGCCCACCCGCCCCCUUAAAUUUCAGUCCUUGUAUCUAUAACACCAAGAAUUAUUAUUGACAUUGUUUUGUUUGUUUUUAUCUUCGACAGAAAUUCCACCAACUGUUUCAAGAUGCGACAAUUAAAGGGUCAAGUGAAGAAAGAGUCGAAAAAAGAGAAGCGGGAGAGGAAGAAGGACUUCCUGGAGAACAAGCAGAAGGUCUUCACCAUUGUCCUACCUGUUUUCAUUCUCCUUGUCUGCUUAAUCAUCACAUAUGUAUACUUCAAGACAAAACCAGUGUCUACCUACUGAGAUCAACAACAUCCAUGGUUUUUCACUUCACAGAUCAUCUCUCAGCAUCUUUUCCAACAACGUAUCAAUCCCGAUAUCUGAAAUUCUUAUUGCUACACUGUCACUUUAAUACAUACAAAUACACACACACACAUAGAAAUAUGUGUGUGUUUGUGUGUAUGCAUGGUAUCCUAAGGCGUUCAUCUGGCAGAGUUGGUACAGCGUCGGAAAAAAUGCUUGGCGGUAUUUCUUCCGAUGGUAUUUCGUCUGCCGUUACG